CUGGCCUGUGUAAACAUGGGCCUCCAUCCUCCCUCAUUAGAGCUCCUGUGUUUGGCCUCCUGGGAUGAGGAGAUGCUCAGAGGCAGAUCUGGAUCCUCAGCGUGAGUGUGAGCUCAUGUGAAUCACCAGCACAGGAGGCUGAUGGGACAUGAAGCUGCCAUCCUCUCUUGCUUACUGCCCAGAGCCAGAUGACACCACAGGGAGCCACCGCAUACAUAUGGACCAGGGUACAAGUCUUCCAUUACAGACGCAGAGACCAGGAUCCAAUGCAUCUUCCCCACUCCUCGCCAUCCGCCACAGGGAGUCAGCACAUACACACACUCAUGCCGGCGGGCGCAAGGUGUCGUCCAUCUCCUGAGCUGUGCUCGCGCGGUCGGCACGUAGCUGUUGUUUUUUUGUUUUUUUUCUCUGCCCGUUCUUUAAUCAAAUGCUGGCGACUCGCUUUUCCGAGAGCCCACACACUCUGAGAGAACAUGAAAUGAGAAGCCGCCCUCCGAUCAUUUGUCACUGGGAGGCACAAUAAAAAGAACCAAAUGUAAAGAGAGAACCAUUUGUUUCCCCUCCCUGACAGAUCACUGCAAAAAACACGGCAUUUUUUUUCCUGUUCAUUACAGAGUGAGUGGCAAAACUAUGCUUAUAGAGGUCUGAGAAAAAUGCAGCUUAUAAAUGUUUAAUGCUUCACAUCAUCCCCUUAGUUGGGUGUGUAAAUGAGCCGAAAUCAUCCGGCGACUGUCAUCCACAAUCAAUUAUGCACAUUUAUGGGUCUGGCUAAUGAUACCAUUGCCGAGACAGGGGUGACAUGCGAGAUUAAUUGUUAAUUGUUUUCAUCCAUUAGAGGGAGAAAAUAAUGUAUUUGGGGUUUCAACUGAGAUGUUUUCAGUGAGUGAGAAGUCCUUUUUUUCUCCACAUAGUCAUUUGCACUCUCUCGUUCUCCCGAUUGCUCUCUGUCUGUAUUGGAAAAACUUUUUUGCCAUCAACCCAGUGAUCCUUGUGAAAUCUGGACUGGCUCAUUAGUCAUUCACCCCAAGUCUCUCGUGGUACCGGCCCCCCCUCCCCUCCCCUCCCCUCCCCUCCCCUCCCUUCAUGUGAAGGACCAGCAACCCCCAUCACUAAUUAAU
ensembl:lncRNA